rnacentral:lncRNA from 1 species
AUCCUCAGAUUCCUCUUUCAUUUAGAGAUGGUAACAUUAAACUUAAACCAAACUGUCUUUAGUAUACUUCCUUUAUCCUGAAAAGAUUUACUGAUUUACAUAAAACCUAAAUUAGAUGAUCAGAUUUGCUUUUACCACUUUGGUCUAUCAGGAUAGCAAGAAUAUUUUAGGCUUAUCAAGGUUUAAUAAAUUUCUAACAAAUUAUCAGAAUGGUAAUUUGUUUCCAGAUAAG